rnacentral:rRNA from 1 species
CCUACGGGUGGCAGCAGUGGGGAAUAUUGCACAAUGGGGGAAACACUGAUGCAGCGACGCCGCGUGAGUGAAGAAGUUAUUCGUUAUGUAAAGCUUUAUCUGCAGGGAAGAAAAUGACGGUACCUGAGCACGAAGCCCCGGCUAACUACGUGCCAGCAGCCGCUGCAACACGUAGGGGGCAAGCGUUAUCCGGAUUAACUGGGUGUAAAGGGAGCGUAGGCGGCUGUGCAAGUCUGGAGUGAAAGGCGGGGGCUCAACCCGCGGACUGCGCUGGAAACUGUACGGCUGGAGUGCAGGAGAGGUAAGUGGAAUGCCUGGUGUAGCGGGGAAAUGCGUAGAUAUUAGGAGGAACACCAGUUGCGAAGGCAGCUUACUGGACUGUAACUGACGUUGAGGCUCGAAAGCGUGGGUAGCAAACAGGAUUAGAUACCCUGGUAGUC